UACGUAGGGUGCGAGCGUUAAUCGGAAUUACUGGGCGUAAAGCGUGCGCAGGCGGUGAUGUAAGACAGAUGUGAAAUCCCCGGGCUCAACCUGGGAACUGCAUUUGUGACUGCAUCGCUGGAGUGCGGCAGAGGGGGAUGGAAUUCCGCGUGUAGCAGUGAAAUGCGUAGAUAUGUGGAGGAACACCGAUGGCGAAGGCAAUCCCCUGGGCCUGCACUGACGCUCAUGCACGAAAGCGUGGGGAGCAAACAGG
rnacentral:rRNA from 1 species